AAAGCGUCAAACACGACCCUACAUAGCGAGCUAAAUUGUCGCUAGCUAGGUAGCUACAGAUGUUACUGAGGACAGAUGCUUGUUCCUUAUUACCUGUGGACUACCUAGACUAAUGUUAGCUAGCUACGUUCACUAAAUAAUUUACAUUUAACGUUUGCCAGUUCGCAAAUGUUAGGUUCCGCGCUCAUACAAGCUAACGUUCGCUACAAAGCUAUGAAACGCGUGCUACCAGGAUAGCUAGUCAGCCAUAGGCGAUUGGCGUUGAAGUUAACGUCUGAGGGAGCUUUGCUCGUAAGUUAGGUAGUCUAAUGUUACCUUACAGCUAGAUAUAAUAUCUAGGUUGGCUUACUGAAUAGAAAGGAUGGCAAGCAACGGUACAAAAUUGGUGCCGCUGUUCGGCAAUGGUCGCGGUGAUUGCGGGUCCAGUGACAUCCACCUGUUCAGAAGCAUGGAACCUCUUGGCCCAGUCGCAAGAUGUAGGAAUUUGAGGCUUGCUGUAGGAAAACUUUCAGUAGCACCCAAAAUAACGCAGACGUUCGCAAAGAGGACGGGAAACCUAGAGACUCGGUCAUUACAAGACAAGUCAAAAGAAAUUAACGGAUUGGAACACAGGUGUAUUGUAGAAGGGUCCACAUACUCCUCAUUCCUAUCAAGAGAUCAUGAUCCGAAAAUGACAAGACUUGGUAUUGAACAGAAUAUUCCAGAUAUAGAUGUCUCCGGGAGGAAUUUUCUGUUUGACGCGAGGUGGACAGGGCAACGAACCGAUUUCAAAUAUGAUUUCAGAGAGAGAAGGUUACCCAAGCCAAAUUCUUUCAUACCACCUCUUCCUCGGGAUUACCAGAUUCACAGAUCCAACGACAUAAAUAGAUUCAUGCUACACAAAGAACUUUCCCACAGUCCUUCCAAGCCAUUUUCCAUCAGCUCCUAUGAAGGAUAUGAUCUUACUUCAGUUCCAGCAAUGGUGUUGCCAGUUACUGUCCAGUCAUUAUGCGGAAAGCCCAGUUUUUCAUCUGACACUCACAUAAACAGACCCAGAGGUAAUAAUCAAACGUCUGGUCUGUUUAGAAUUGGUGCCAGUAAGAAAUCUUACACGUACACGGAUCCCGUCUGUGGAGCCUCGGCCUCCUUUGUGGCGAGGCUGUCGGAGAUGGCUUCCCUGGAGGGCGAGACCAUGCGACAGGAGAACCUCAAGAAGCUGAAGAGGACCAAGAGAGCGGAGUCUUAACCGCCCUGUCUUACCGGCCAAAAGGGAUCCAGUGCGGUGUUACGGGAUUUGUGCAGUGCCAAAGUGAAGCAUUUUCUAGAAAACAAAAGGAAGAAUUGUAUUUUUUUUUGUAAUAAUAUGUGUUUAUUACGUUUGUGUGUAUAAGCAUAAUGCUUUGCCUGAAUUGUGCAUUCAUUGAGUAAAUCAAUAUGCUGGUGUGCA